rnacentral:rRNA from 1 species
AUGGCUUCGAUGGGGUUUUGCUACGCACAGGUACACGUGAAGCAAGAAAGACUGAGGAGGAGGAUCAGCGAGAAUGCUUCGGCAGCGACGAUGAUGGGCAAGUCGAUGACCGGAGAAGAUGAGAAGGAGAAUUUUAUUGGUCAAGAGGAGAAGAAGGCAGCUUGCAAUGCAUGGACCGCCGGCGACCGGAGGGUGCAUCCAUGUGCAUCUUCCACGGCGGCUGCGGCGCCGAACGGUGGCCACCGGUGA